rnacentral:misc_RNA from 1 species
CAUAUUGCUCAUUUGGGGCCUGCUAGAACACAACAACAUUAUAUUACCCAGUUCUUCAAUUAACUGGGUAUAAUAGUAAUCACUCAAAACAUAAUUUUUAAAGUAAUAAUUGAUCGGUAAGAAUGAUAACUCAUUUUUUUUAUAAUAUAUUGAAACAAGAAAAACCCAAAAUAAAUAAAUAAAUAUUAAAAAAUAAACCAAGUUAAAAACAUCCUCCUUGGAUCUAUUAGUGGCAAUAUGUCAAGUAGCAUAAAGGCAUGAAAUAAAUAAAACAGAAAAGAAGACGAAGAUUACUGAAAAUUGCAGAUAAGAAUGCACUUGACCAUGUCCUUAAACAAAGGAAAAGAACUAAACACUCUUCCACA